rnacentral:tRNA from 1 species
GCCUCCAUAGCUCAGUUGGCAGAGCUUCCGACUUUUAAUCGGAAUGUCGCAGGUUCGAUCCCUGCUGGGGGCAC